CAGACCGGUUAAAGAUGACAAUGCCAUUGGGCAAUUGAUUCAAUUGUGAGCUCGAUCACAUCACACGUUGUCUAAUCCCAUUGUGUGUGGACUAUCUCAUACUUACUAGAAUGGGUGGCUGUUAUGAUGCAAUCGAGAAACGCUAUCUGAAGAAAAUGACAGUCUUGGUGUGCUCCAGUGAUGACAACAUGGAG